AAAGACAUGAAAGAUCAGAGUUUAUUUUGUGUUAUUAUUUUAGACGCAUUAUAUUUGUCAAUACCCUUGACUUAGAUGAUGAUCAGAUCACAUUUUAUGUGAAAACCAUGAAAUUCCAAAAGGUUCACACACUUUUUCUUGCCACUGUGGCAUCCUCCAGGUCACUACAUCAGUGCUGGCUUCCAUACAGCCAUUAAGACUAGCUGAACUUUCUUUCAUGGUAUAUAUAUAUCUGUGAUGCUGAGUCCCAGAGACUCAACACCAAGCCUGACCUGACCUCUCAGACUAAUAAAUUAUUAUUAUUAUUAUUAUUACAGGCUUUCCAUGGUGACUCACGGAAGUGUAACUACACUGUCAUUGAGCUUUACCUCUAAUGGUCUUCUCCACCUUUGUAACCUCUCCACACCUUUAUAUUGGCUUUCAUCAAGGUCUCAGUGUAAAAACACCGAAGGAACAAAACGCAUCUAAAAGUUAUCUUUAGAAAAGCCUGAGUUGUUUACCUCUCUGUAAAGGUCUAACCUGAAUAAAAGAGCUACCGAAGGGCUCAGCAGUACUGAACAUGAAAUGCACUAAAGCACGACACAUCAAACAAAGCCCCGUCACUAAAAGCUCCAAGCUAUUGGUCUUUUUUGGCUCGCACAAACACACUUCACCUGGUUGCAGCUUUGAGAGAUGAGAGUCCUGAAACUGGAACACAAAGAAGAUGCCCUAAUGGGAUAGAAGCUUUUCUCCAUAAGCACAAGCACAGUGAGAGCGUAUUGCAUUAUUUGUGGUCUGUAAUGAAGUUGUGAAGAGGAUAAGUUUGAAGAUGUGAACGAUAAAGGCUCGGGAUGCCAACUUUUUCAUUUUCGAUCACAGGUACGAUGCCAGCAAGCUUUAAGAAGCGAUCUGUCUUUGUGUCGAACAUCUGCGGCGUGCUAUCCAGUCAGCCAAUCAUGUCUCAGCAGUGCAAUGCAUAAAAGCAUGCAGAUACAUGUCAAGACUUUUAGAGCUUGAUGUUUUUCCAAUCUUCAGCUACGCAGUUUCGGUGAGCCUGUGCCCAGUGUAAGCCUCAGAUUCCCGUUCUUGGCUGACAGGAGGCAGCUUCUGCCAUUGUGGGCCAUACAGCUCAAGAUUUAACAUGAAGCUUUCUAACAUGCUUUUCUGCUCACCACGGUUAUAAAGAGUGGUUAAAAAUUUGAGCUACCGUAGCGCUCUUGUCAGCUAGAACAAGUCUAGCCAUUCUCCUCUGACCUCUCAUCAACAAGGUGUUUCUGCCCACAACACUGCAGCUCACUGGAUGUUUUUGCACAAUUCUGUGUAAACUCUAGCGCAAGGGUGUCCAGUCUUAUCCGGAAAGGGAUAAGCGUGCAGGUUUUCAUUCCAACCAAGCAGAAGCCACACCUGAAUCUAUUGG
ensembl:lncRNA